GGGGGCGAAUUGGAUUCGACCGGGUAGUUAGAAGCGUCAGUCGCGCGUCGUGGUUGGUCAGCAGGCCACGUAAAAAGCAGACCAACUUAUUUACUUGUCGAGGACAACCUCGCCUUGGUUGCGUAGUAAACGUGACUCCGAUUGAGAUUUUUAGCUAGAGAGAAUCAAAAAUCGGUCGCCAAAUCUAGCUCGCCGUGAACCACGUUGGACACGUUUUCGGCUAAAAAAACCGUUUCCAAAUAGCGUCAAGGGAAUCCUGUCGAUUGGAGUCCCGCGACGUGAAACACCAAAGAAUCGACUACACGCGUAGAAGCUGCCGCGGAAAUACCGCGGGACGCGGGUUCGAUCCCCGCCGCCUCCACC
rnacentral:tmRNA from 1 species